UACAGGUGCAGUAAUCUGUGAGCUGCUCUGAAAGCUGGUGCUUAAUAACAGUCUAAUCCUUUUAUACCAACUCUACAUGCAAAGGAGUCUAACACACCACCCCUCUCUGUAAAAAGCGGACUGUCUGUCUCAGAGUCAGUUAGAGUAGAGAAGAGCAGCUCCCACCAGUUCAGCUUCAGCACAAACCAUGUUCUCUGCAUCUCUGCUGCUUCUCCUGCUGGCAGCUGCCUCUUAUGUAUGGUGCGGUGGUCUUGAACUCAGCCAGCCAAGUUUAUUGGUUGUAAAGCCUGGAGAGUCUCUGAGCAUCACCUGUAAGGUCUCUGGGUAUUCUGUUAGUGAUAGCAGCAUAAGCUUUGCCACAGGUCGGGUUCGAAAGCCUGCAGGGAAAGCAAUAGAGUGGAUUUCCCAUAUAUGGGAUGAUGGAGAUAUCUACAAAACUGAUUCACUGAAAAACAUGUUCAGCAUUUCAAGAGAUGCCUCCUGUAACUCUGUGUCUUUUAAAAGCCAGAGCCUGCAACAAGACACAGCUGUGUAUUACUGUGUUCGCUACCCACCACAGUGAUACGAACCAAUACCAGACCUGAACAAUUACCCAGAGACCCAUUUGAGAACGGUGCAAGCACAUUAUAAUAUAAAUGUAUCUCCA